CGUGUGGCUCAACGCCCUGGAGCUGCUGGACCCCAGCGGGAGCUGCGCCGGGGGGGCUGCGGACACUGACCUGGAUGAGGCGCUGCGGGAGUUCGGGUGCCCCCCCUGGGAAGAGCCCCGCAAGGUGGAUGAGCCGCUCAGGUACCCCCUGAUGGGACAGGGACCCCUCCCCAGGGUGGAGACCCCAAAUUAGGGGAGUCCCAGGA